GUGUCAGCAGCCGCGGUAAUACGUAGGUGGCGAGCGUUGUCCGGAAUUAUUGGGCGUAAAGGGCGCGUAGGCGGUCAUCUAAGUCAGGUGUGAAAGCCCCCGGCUCAACUGGGGAGGGUCACUUGAUACUGGAUGACUCGAGUGCGGGAGAGGGAAGUGGAAUUCCAUGUGUAGCGGUGAAAUGCGUAGAUAUAUGGAGGAACACCAGUGGCGAAGGCGGCUUCCUGGACCGUAACUGACGCUGAGGCGCGAAAGCUGGGGGAGUGAACGGGAUUAGAUACCCCGGUAAUCCCAGCCGUAAACGAUGGAUGCUAGGUGUAGAGGGUAUCGACCCCUUCUGUGCCGCAGUUAACACAAUAAGCAUCCCGCCUGGGGAGUACGGCCGCAAGGUUGAA
rnacentral:rRNA from 1 species